GGGGAAUUGUUCGCAAUGGGCGAAAGCCUGACGACGCAACGCCGCGUGGAGGAUGAAGGUCUUCGGAUUGUAAACUCCUGUUGACCGGGACGAAUGGGUCCCGACCUAAUACGUCGGGGCAGUGACGGUACCGGUUGAGGAAGCCACGGCAAACUCUGUGCCAGCAGCCGCGGUAAUACAGAGGUGGCAAGCGUUGUUCGGAAUUACUGGGCGUAAAGGGCGCGUAGGCGGCCUUCUAAGUCAGACGUGAAAUCCCCAGGCUUAACUUGGGAACUGCGUCUGAUACUGGAAGGCUUGAGUGCGGGAGAGGGAUGUGGAAUUCCUGGUGUAGCGGUGAAAUGCGUAGAUAUCUGGAGGAACACCGGUGGCGAAGGCGGCAUCCUGGACCGACACUGACGCUGAGGCGCGAAAGCCAGGGGAGCAA
rnacentral:rRNA from 1 species